rnacentral:rRNA from 1 species
AAUAUUUGACAAUGGGGGCAACCCUGAUCCAGCCAUGCCGCGUGUGUGAUGAAGGUCUUCGGAUUGUAAAGCACUUUAAGCUGGGAGGAAGGGCUUUAGGCUAAUACCCUGUAGUUUUGACGUUACCAACAGAAUAAGCACCGGCUAGCUCUGUGCUAGCAGCCGUGGUAAUACAGAGGGUGCAAGAGUUAAUCGGAAUUACUGUGCGUAAGGCGCGCGUAGGUGGUUCAGUAAGAUGGGUGUGAAAUCCCCGGGCAUAACCUGGGAACUGCUUUCAAAACUGCAGAGCUAGAGUACGGGAAAGGGUAGUGGAAUUUCCUGUGUAGCGGUGAAAUGCGUAGAUAUAGGAAGGAACACCAGUGGCGAAGGCGACUACCUGGACUGAUACUGACACUGAGGUGCGAAAGCGUGGGGAGCAAAC